rnacentral:rRNA from 1 species
GAGUUUGAUCGUGGCUCAGAUUGAACGCUGGCGGCAUGCCUUACACAUGCAAGUCGGACGGCAGCAUGAUCUAGCUUGCUAGAUUGAUGGCGAGUGGCGAACGGGUGAGUAAUACAUCGGAACGUGCCCUGUAGUGGGGGAUAACUAGUCGAAAGAUUAGCUAAUACCGCAUACGACCUGAGGGUGAAAGUGGGGGACCGCAAGGCCUCAUGCUAUAGGAGCGGCCGAUGUCUGAUUAGCUAGUUGGUGGGGUAAAGGCCCACCAAGGCGACGAUCAGUAGCUGGUCUGAGAGGACGAUCAGCCACACUGGGACUGAGACACGGCCCAGACUCCUACGGGAGGCAGCAGUGGGGAAUUUUGGACAAUGGGCGAAAGCCUGAUCCAGCAAUGCCGCGUGUGUGAAGAAGGCCUCGG